rnacentral:rRNA from 1 species
CCUACGGGAGGCAGCAGUGGGGAAUAUUGCGCAAUGGGGGCAACCCUGACGCAGCAACGCCGCGUGAUUGAAGAAGGCCUUCGGGUUGUAAAGAUCUUUAAUCGGGGACGAAGGUUGACGGUACCCGAAGAAUAAGCGCCGGCUAACUACGUGCCAGCAGCCGCGGUAAGACGUAGGGAGCAAGCGUUAUCCGGCUUUACUGGGUGUAAAGGGCGGGUAGGCGGGCAGGCAAGCCAGAAGUGAAAUCUGGGGGCUUAACCCCCAAACGGCUUUUGGAACUGCGUGUCUUGAGUGAUGGUGAGGCAGGCGGCAUUCCCAGUGUAGCGGUGAAAUGCGUAGCUAUUGGGCGGAACACCAGUGGCGAAGGCGGCCUGCUGGACCUUAACUGACGCUGAGGCGCGAAAGCGUGGGGAGCAAACAGGAUUAGAUACCCCUGUAGUC